UAGGGAAUCUUCGGCAAUGGACGAAAGUCUGACCGAGCAACGCCGCGUGAGUGAAGAAGGUUUUCGGACCGUAAAACUCUGUUGUUAGAGAAGAACAAGGACGUUAGUAAUUGAACGUCCCCUGACGGUAUCUAACCAGAAAGCCACGGCUAACUACGUGCCAGCCGCCGCGGUAAUACGUAGGUGGCAAGCGUUGUCCGGAUUUAUUGGGCGUAAAGCGAGCGCAGGCGGUUUCUUAAGUCUGAUGUGAAAGCCCCCGGCUCAACCGGGGAGGGUCAUUGGAAGCUGGGAGGAUUGAGUGCAGAAGAGGAGAGUGGAAUUCCAUGUGUAGCGGUGAAGUGCAUAGAUAUAUGGAGGAACACCAGUGGCGAAGGCGGCUCUCUGGUCUGUAACUGACGCUGAGGCUCGAAAGCGUGGGGAGCAAACAGG
rnacentral:rRNA from 1 species